rnacentral:rRNA from 1 species
CCUACGGGAGGCAGCAGUGAGGAAUUUUGCGCAAUGGGGGAAACCCUGACGCAGCAACGCCGCGUGGGUGAAGAAGGCUUUCGGGUCGUAAAGCCCUGUCAGGUGGGAAGAAACUCUUCAGUACUAAUAAUGCUGAAGCCUGACGGUACCACCAGAGGAAGCACCGGCCAACUCCGUGCCAGCAGCCGCGGUAAUACGGAGGGUGCAAGCGUUGUUCGGAAUUAUUGGGCGUAAAGAGCGUGUAGGCGGUUCGGUAAGUCAGAUGUGAAAGCCCGGGGCUCAACCCCGGAAGUGCAUUUGAAACGAAGGGACUUGAGUAUGGGAGAGGGAAGUGGAAUUCCUGGUGUAGCGGUGAAAUGCGUAGAUAUCAGGAGGAACACCGGUGGCGAUGGCGACUUCCUGGACCAAUACUGACGCUGAGGCGCGAAGGCGUGGGGAGCAAACAGGAUUAGAUACCCUGGUAGUCCACGCAGUAAACGUUGAACACUAGGUGUAGCGGGUAUUGACCCCUGCUGUGCCGCAGCUAACGCAUUAAGUGUUCCGCCUGGGGAGUACGGCCGCAAGGCUAAAACUCAAAGGAAUGACGG